rnacentral:rRNA from 1 species
UACCUGCAGCUCAAGUGGUGAUCGUUAUUAUUGGGCCUAAAACGUCCGUAGCCGGUCUUGUAAAUGCCUGGGUAAAUCGUAUGGCUUAACUAUACGAAUUCCGGGUAGACUGUUAGACUCGAGACCGGGAGAAGCUAGAGGUACUCCUGGGGUAGAGGUGAAAUUCUGUAAUCCUAGGGGGACCACCAGUGGCGAAGGCGUCUAGCUAGAACGGGUCUGACGGUGAGGGACGAAGCCCUGGGGCGCAAACGGGAUUAGAUACCCCGGUAGUCCAGGGUGUAAACGCUGCUUGCUUGAUGUUAGCCUGGCUCCGAGCCAGAUUAGUGUCGGAGAGAAGUUGUUAAGCAAGCUGCCUGGGAAGUACGGCCGCAAGACUGAAACUUAAAGGAAUUGGCGGGGGAGCACAGCAACGGGUGGAGCGUGCGGUUU